CACUGCCGCCACAUACUGAAGACCGUGCGAAUCCUUCUUCCCCAGAAGCCUGCCUGCCUUCUCAAGGAACGAAGGAACAACAGAUUUGCAGAAUGGUCCCAGAGGGAUGUACAGCCUGAGAAGCUGGUCUGGAGGCUCUUUCAGCCUUCUCUGCCACACCAGCCCUGUGGGGGGUCUUUUGUGAGGUGACCCACUUCCCAUCUUCCAGGGACGCAAACACGGAGAAAGGAGAUGCUUGCAGGAAGAUGGAGAUGGAGACUGGAGCGAUGCAUCUAUGAGCCGAGGAACGCCGAGGAUUCCGACAACUAUCGAAAGCUGGAAGAGUUGAGGAAGAAUCCUCUUCUGGAGCCUCCAGAGGGAGCAUGGCCCUCUGACACCUGGAUUUGGGGCUCUGGCCCUCAGAACUGUGAAAGAAUA